GUUUUUCUAUGGCAUGAAGGGUUAUGCAGAGCUCUCCGACUUCUCUAUCCAUCUCCUCCCUCCAGACGAAAGGCUUAGAUUUGCAAGAUAACUGGUUAUUAGGAGAAUGCAAGCUCCCCAGGGGCAGGGACGCCCGGGGUCCGCUCCCUGCUCUCCUUCAAGCACCCGGCACAGAGGGCCGUCUUCGGGGCUCUCUGUGGAAUGAAGGCAUGAACCUCGCCAGGUUGAGCUUAACGGUCACCUCCUGCAAGAAGACAGCCCCCACGGGAAUGAAUGCUGCCAACACCACAGGAAUGAGCUCCGCAUGGCUCCUUCCCCAGGUGAACCUUCAGAUAAGACUGCAGCCCACACUGACACCUUGACUGCAACCUGUGACAGAGCCCAAGCAAAGGACCCAGUGAAGCCCUGCCUGGAUUCCUUAUUCACAGAAAAGGUGAGGA